rnacentral:tRNA from 1 species
CGGCUCGUGCUCUGCCAAGCGUUCGCCAAACCGGCUUGUGUCUUCGCGUCUGAACGAUUGAGGCCGCUGACUCUUAAUCAGCGAGUCCCAGGUUCGAGUAAUCAGCGAGUCCCAGGUUCGAGCCCUGGUGCGCCAACCA